AUGGGUAUGCAGGCUAUGAUGGAUGUCCAGUGCACGAACCUUGUCAACCCUGUAUGCGACUGGCUUGGUGAGAUCUACGACCCCGCCUCCAAGGAAUUCGUGAUUCCGGGACAUGGAAGACUACCGUUAAACGAGGAUUCUGUGUUCUGCACUUUUGGUGUGCCUCGUGGACAUAUCAAAGUCCCAUACGAGGCCAUGAUGACGCAUGGAGAUGUUUUCAAGAUGAAGUUACUCAUGUACCUCAUCUCAGCUGUUUUCGCGCCGACCACUUCUCUUCUCCCAAGCAACAAAUGCUUCCCCAUCCUGGCGGAUCUGAAAAAUGUGAAGAACAUGAAUUGGUGUAAGUUUAUUGCCGACUUCCUGCAUGAUGCAUUCUCUAGCAAGAUGUUCCAAAAGGGUUGUCGACUGCAUUUAAUGCUCAUGUACGUCGACUGUCUUGAUCUGUCCACCAUGGAUUUCACUGGGACUGGAGGCCCGCCACCUGUGCACAAGUUUGCUAUUUCUGCGUGGACUAUCAACGCUGUCAAGGCUGUGCUUGCCGCAGACAAGGCUACUGACACCACAUAUGGAAAACUGCAGAUGGAUGUCUGA
rnacentral:rRNA from 1 species